UUUCUUCCAUCUGUGGGAAGCCGAGGAGAGCAGCAAGUCUCCGCUCACACUGCCGGCAAGUGUUAAUGAAGACCCAAGUGUGACCAGCCCCGUGCCAUGCCGGGGAGCAGCACAGCCCCAGUGGGUGCCCGGGGAAGGGGUCCAUCGGAGCAGCUCUCCAUAGCGUCAGCCCAGCGGCAUCCUCAGGGGUUAACGAUCCCGGCAGCUGAUGGAUGGGUGGUGAGGAGAUUGAUUGCCUCCUGCAAGGUACAUAAAGUCUCGCCCUCCUGCAGAAACACAGCGCUUGUUCAACCAGGUAAAUAACUGGUUUAAGAUCCCCUCUCGCAGCAGCUGACCCUACACGUGUUUGUCCAAGUGUCUGGAGUUGUUCCAGUCUCUCUGUUGCUGAUGGCUAAAGGCAAAGGCGUGUUCUCCCUUGGGCGAUGUCAUGGAGGAGGCGAUGCUUUGCUCCUAGCAGAGCCUCGGUGGCGCCAGGUGUGCGGCGUGGGCUGCAGCGACAGUACUGCAAAUAAAGGGGGAUGCCGGGAAGAGCCGCUCCGCUGUAGGAGAUAUUUCUUCUUGGACGGAGAACUGGACCCAUUCACCAACCUGCUGGUGAACAGCUGUAUCGGGGGGUCGUAAAGCAUGAGGGUCACGGAGGAGACAUGCAGGGUCACAGAGGAGAUGACAGGGUGUGUGCUGGGGACACAAAGCUCCCCCCGUGUGUACCCAGCACUGACCCAGCCGGGGUGUGAGGCAGCCGAGGGCCGCUCUCAGCUCCAACAAGCAGGACAAAAGGUGAAGAAAACACACCAUCCCUGCAGCGUUUCCAUGGGCAGAUUGCAAUAAAAAGAUGAGUCCCUCAGCAGCUGGAGUGAGGGCAGGACACACGCCACUCCCCGUGCCAGUGCGGAUGUCCUCAAUUAGUCCAGGUACAAUGUAUAUUUUAGAAGCCAAGAAAGUGGAUGCAAAGGAUACAUAAAUGCUGGGUUCUGAGCAAAGCAAACUAACGGGAGAAAUGAGCAGUUCGCUACCCUGCUGUAAGGAUUUUGCUAAUACAAGCCAGUUCACAGGCAGUAAGGACAUUCCGUCAAAGCAAAUUGAUUUUUUUUCUACUGUUUUGCUCACCUGCAGCGAAGCUCUUCCCUGGCUAGCGAGUGUGCCCUUCGCCUUGCCGCGCUCCUCCGGGGCUCAGUGUCCCCCCUGGCCUGCCUGCGGGGUUUUGCCUGCUGCAGAGCCACAGCUGUGCCCCCGCGGGACCACGGCCAUCCACACCACAGGUCACCUCUGUGGACGCAGCACAGGUCACCUCUGUGGCCAAAACCCAGGCACAGGCCCCGGAAGAGGCAAGGCA